AACUGGAUGAGCACUGUGGUCUUCUUCAACCCAGGCCAUUCUAUGAUUCUGUGAUUUGUGCAGUACAGUGGAGGGUAGAAGUCUCCAACAAUAGUUCUGCUGGAGGGAGUUCAGGUAGGAAGGAAGGGAGCUGUCUAGAUGUCCUGUGGGGAAGUCAAUGGAUGUGCACGUCUCCUUACCCUUUCUGCUUUCUCUGCCAGGCUAGUCUUUCCAUAGUAUUAUUGCUAUAGCAAAUCCAGCCCUCACUUUUAAAGUGGGAAACAAAGAACACUAGCAGUGCCCUUCAAAAAAUGUGCACAUACCCUUUCCCACCUACCCAAAAAAGAGUGGGGAUGGAGAACAUAAAAGACACAAAUCCCUUAUGUUCUCCAAAGUCUCGUGUACGUUCAGCACACUAAGUUUCUACUGUAAGCCUCUGCUUCCAUUCCAAACCAAGCUAAAAUUAUCCUUCUGAAGUCUUUCCUAGACAAGCUUUUGUUACAUGACUCUUUUGGACAAGCAUCAAUCUGUUUCCCAAAAGCCUGUCUUCCAGGAAUGGCUUAGUGCUGGCUUUGGGGCAGGUGUUCAGAUACUCUGCAGCAGACGCUGCUUUCUGGUGUAGCCCAUCACUGCAGCAUGCUGCAAAAUGGCAGUCUGAGCAUCCCUUAAUGCUGGAAGUUUAACCACAGCUGGAGCUGGUUCUUUGAAUCCUGUCAGUUCUAUUUGCAUCGAGUUGUUUCAGCUGAUGUGGUGCUGCUUAGAAAAACACUGAGGAUCCAUACAGAAGUACUUAUUUCCCUCAUCUUUAAAGGCAGCUUUAGCCUGUACAUUUUUAACAUCUUCAAAAUCCGUUGGUGUUUGUGGCAGUAGCUAUUCACAGUUGCUGUUUUCAUGUUGUCAGUCACCUUUUCCAAACGGCAAACAAAGCAAAGUGUACUCAUGAAGAACUUUGAUUCCAGAGUGGCAACAGGGGUGGGACACAGUGUCCUGAGGAGCCCUCCAGGCCUUGCUCUGCCUUGUCUUUAAGCAAAGAGUAAUUGAUAUCCAAAUGUCUCAGGUUUUGUGAUUCUAUUUUUUAAACUCUGAGCUGGCUUCGUUAGCGUAUCAGAGAUGGCAACUGAAUGCAUUUCUAGGCACGGUUUCUAGAUGCAUUUGAUGUUGGGUUCUUUGUCUUCCCUUUCUAGGUAGUUAGAGAACUCUUCCAGCCCUGCAAAUGAGGCAAACUGUGUGAGUAAUGAGCUACUUUGUCCUGUGUCAGAGUGCCUUCUCUCCAAGUGCUGUUUGCUGUCUGGAUUUCUGACCACUGAACAAGAAGUGUCCAUUGUGCUUCUCAUUUUUCAUUAAUUUUGAAGAGCUCCAUCAGUACAGACCUCCCUCAUGAAAGCCACAGUGAUGUCACGUCCAGCAGCACAGGAGGGAAUCAGAGCGUGCUCCUACCAAGUCAGCACAGCCCCGAGAGAGUUCCCUUUUUGCUGCAGAGCUACGGCUUUGGUCAUGGGCUCAUUUGCACUUUACUCGUCUUCGUGUUUAUGGAGUAUCAGUGGAUUAACAACAAAAAAAGACAAAAGCAGUAAUAUUUGACCUCCAGAGCUGGCGAUGUCUUUUCCCCUUCCUCUUUGUCCUCAUCUUUUCACAGUAAAGAAACAAAGUAAAACAUUUGGUGUUUGCUUCCAGGUGAUCUGUUCUUUUUCACCCUUCUCCUCCUCUCCCUGGGGAUGGAGGCCCCCACCAUCCUUUGAGAUGUCAGGAAUUCUAGGCGAAGAUUUAUGCAGCAGCAUAAAGAGGCAUUAGACCGUGUAGUGAGGGUCAGACAUAUGGUAGCAAUGAUUGCACAGCCCUGUAAAGCAGCCUCCCUGCAAAGCCCUGGAUGCGUUGUGAGAAGUCUUUCCUUGGAAGCAACGUGCUUAAAGAUGCCCUUGUGUCUGAUCUGGUCAGGUACGUGCUGCACACAACAAGGAUGGGAACAAACAAUGCUGUUUUCCUUUCCCAAAGUAAGUUAAAUUCACUUCUGUGUGGAAAUGAGAUUGAAGCCCGUGUUUUCUUUCUUUCUUGACUCCACUCGGUUAGCUGUUGAGAAUAGCAGCUCCUCAGGUCUCUGGUAAUGCAGUCUUCACCUCAAAUAGGGAUUCUAAAAUAUUUAAGCAUUUCUCUCCUGAGGCUUCUUGCUUCCUAUUUGUUUCUUGUUGCUAAGCAAUGCAUUUAUACCCCCAAAAUUAAAAUUUACAGCUCUCAAAUUGUCCCUCAGCCUUAUUCUCCAAACCUCACAUCUGUAAUGGGUUUUCCAUCUGCCAGUUUUCCCAGGCCGCCCCAUCCAUCCUCCAGUCUGCAGAGGAAAAAGCCUUGCGGUGGAGGGUGUUUUUUCCCCUUUUUUAGCCUCCAUCUGUAAUUAAUUUUCUUGCAAAGCCACAUCUGUCUGUAUGGGGCAAGGGAAGUGGGGAAAGCGAGGUAAAAAGUGAAGUCACUCUCUCCCUUUCCCAGUAAAAUGCAGCGUUUGGCAAACGCAAUUGUAGUUCCUCUGGGCAUUUUAGUCUUUCCCUUCCAUUCUCCUGCCCUCACCACCCCUUUCUCCAGCGCAGUCAAACAGAAAGGUGCAGUGGUGUUGGUGCUCAGCUGUGGUUCUGCCGGCGUGGAGCUUGUGGGUUUGGUCUGUGCUGCAGCCCACAUCUGACACUGCAGUGUGUUUCUGCUGCUGGGGUUGCUGCAAAUGCUGCUGGCGUCCUCGGGAAAACUUCCUUCUGUCAAUAUUUGAAUUUUCAAAGCCGUGCUAAAUAGCUGCCGUGAUGUUUCUCUUUUAAAGACUAAGAAAUAGCUACAGUGGUCCCAGUCAAUAUUCCUUCUCUACCAUCGCUCAGUGCAGCCGUUCCAGAAAUUUUAAUGUUCUGCAGACCACCGGGGAGCUUCAAACAAGAGCGGGGCUGGCUGUGAGGCUGGUGGCCUGCCUGCAGCAGGAAGGGAAGGAGAAAGAAGGAGAAAGAACCUGCUGUCUCGGCCCGCCCAGAUUGAACCCAAAGCACAGAGGCUUGGUGAAGAUGCUCUUCUUUGGAGCACAUGAACAUCCUCGCUUUCCCCUUGAGAGUUGUCAGUGGAAGAGAUGUCCUCUUCUGCCUCUGGAAGCAGCUGGCAGAGGUUCCAGAGCCUGGCCUUCCGUUGGGUCACUAUUCUUAUCUCAUUACAUCAUCUGCCACCAUCGCAUUCCAACUCUUCCAGCUUCCUUCAAAUUAAAAAAACAGUCACACAAUUUAGCAGAGGAGGCGGUCAUCCUAUAGAAAAGUCCUUGAAAUGGGCAAUGGCAAGGAAGGCUGGCCACUGAGCAGCCACUCAGCCCAGUCCACAGGCCAGCUUCUGCUUCACUGUAACCUCAUGAGCUGAGAGAUGCUGAGCUGGGGAGUCCAGGUCUCUGCUCUCAGCCUCUGGGCUUGGCUGCUCGUGGGCCUUAGGACAGGUUUGUAAUGGAAAGUAAAAGUACACUGGCUCCUCGUGCAGGAGAAACAUGAAAACUUGAGCUCUGUGGGAAAUCAGACCCUCAGAUACUUUUGGACAUCUGGGUUUCCACCUUGCUGUACUGUCAGAGCUUGAGCUGGAUUCUAGUUGGAACACCACUGUUGUCAGCAGUGCUGACCUGAGUUGCCAGCAUCUCGUCCCUGCUGCCACAACGCUGAUGCAGCUGGUUGGUGAAUUAGAUGGGGUAAUUAAUCUGUGUUAAACGUACUUCCUUUAUUUGCCAGGUUACUUUUAGCCAAGGUCAUUUCCGCAAUGCACUUUACAACGGCCCAGGCAGCUGCACAGUACUGGCAACAACUGGUAUAGGGAUGGGAGGACAAACAGUGACAAGCGUGUGCAGCUCAAGUUAAUUCUGCCAAAGACACACUGCUUGCUGCCCUACCACUUAGCACCAGAGGAAGGAGCUUUGCAUUCCCUGCUGAAAGAUUAUUGCCCCGCAGGACUCCCUCCCACCAAACCACUAGCAAACCUGGAGUCUUGCCCCUUCUCAAGCCCCUGAAACCCUCAAGUCAUCCCCAGAUCAUGACUGUGUCUUUCUGGUCUUCAUAUUUUAAGAAACGUCAUUUUAACACUGGCUGUGGGAGGAGAAAGGGAGCACAGGACAAACAGGCUGCCCUCUGAGGAGCAGGCUCCUGAAACUAAGCUGCUGAGGACAUCAGUCUGAUUCCAGCAUGAAAUGACCCAAAUCUGAAAAAACACUGACACCCUGUGGAGACGUACGGAGGGACAUUAUGCAGAUCUUACUGGCCCUCGUUGGUACCAUAGGGUUAAUUACUGAGUUAUUUCAUGUCCUAUUUUAGAUGGGCCAUUUGUCCGACUUCUUCCAGAUUCAUCGUCUUACAAAGUCAUUAAGAAAAGAAAUGAUCUCUUUUCAAUUAGAAUGGAUUUGUUUUUUUUUAUCUUGUAGCUAAACCCAUAACCAUUCAUUUGUUAAGAAGAAAAUUUCUUGGUACAAGGAGGAAUAUUCUUAAAGAUACAAAGAACAUACCUGAAAUGGGUUGGGUUGCACAAAGGCUGUUCUUCUGCACACCUAGAAUCAUAGAAUCAAAGAGUACCCCAAGUUGGAAGGGACCCACGAGGAUCACUGGGUCCAAUUCCAAGUCGGUUGAUUGUGUGUGUUUCUGACAGUGCUUCUGGGCAGAGGCUGUCUCAAUUAAAAUUAAAAAACAGAUAUGUGCAUUUCCCUUUUUUGCUUGAGUUGAGCACAGGAUCCCCAUCUGGAUCAGAGCUGGAUAGCAAGGAGUGUCCUGGUGCUUUGAGUGCAGCCAUGUGUAAUGAAGCCCUUUAAAGACAGCACCUCAUUUCUCAUAAAAAUGGAUAUUUCACCUCCAGGACUGCAACUAAAUUGCAAACUUUACUAACUUUAAGUCACAUCAGCCCUCCCUUGAGCUCCGUGCUUCCAUCUGGGUGAAGAUGGAUAUUUAAU